GUAUUGUUUUAGAUGACACAGAGGAGGAGAAUGAUUUGUCUAUAAAACUUGUUAGGCUCAUAGUUCUGAUAACCGAAGACCCUACUCAACCGGCACUCAUUUACUGCUUUCUUGCUAGCACUAUCAACCCAGAUGCAUGGUUACGGCUAGGAUGGAAUUUUCAGAAAAUUCCUUGUUGACUCUCCAAAAAUGUGGGGUGACCUUCAAACCUUCUCUGAGUGUCUCUAUUUAGAAUGAUUCUUCAAAUAUGGAGGAAGACAAAAACUGCUCUACACGGACAGGUGGGAGAUGUGCAUGCAAGAAUAAUGAAGAAAAACUAUAAAUCAGUCCCCAGGAUGGUGGUUUGUCAUCAUUUUGAUCAUAAUGAUUAUCACUGGUUUGAUAUGUUGUAAAGGCUUUGGCAAGCAGCUCCAACUUCCAUGGCGGGGAGUCUUACUUUCUUUAGUGAUUGCAUUGGUUUUCAUUUUUCCAAUUGGGGUCAUUCAAGCAACAACAAACAUGUCUCACUUUGGUAGCUUUAAGUGCUAAUUUGGCUAACAUGAUGACUUCUCACAACCAUUCUACUCAUAUGUAAUAAUUCAAUUUUUCCUGAGGGUAGUCUGAGGGUAGUCCAUGGACUUGCCCUAGUGAUUUUAUGUUCUACAAUGCUUCAAUCAUAUGGGGAGAGGUGGACCACAAAGAAUGUUCACAAAAGAAGGCAUUUACCAUGACCUAAACUAGUUCUUUCGCAUUGGUCUACUUACCCUUGUUCCAAUGUGGUUGCUUGCAAAGAAAUUCCCUAACCACAAGUAGACUAAUCUCAUCAAUGUUCGUCAUUAUUUAAGGUGUGAGUGGCCUCCCUCAAAUAAGAUCAAUGAACUACAUCUCUUCGGGAAUUAUUGGAAUCUUCUUCAACUUGUAUGUUUACAACAAAUUCAAGGCAUGAUGGGUUAGGGACACUUGCAUCCUCUCUUCCGCUUUGGACGCUAGUGUUGUUUUCAUGACUGUGUUGCUCUAUAAGUUUCAAUAUUUCACUUUGAAAUAACUAUG